rnacentral:rRNA from 1 species
UACGUAGGAGACAAGCGUUGUCCGGAAUUACUGGGUGUAAAGCGCGUGUAGGCGGUAGGCCAAGUCUGCUGUGAAAUCGCCCGGCUUAACUGGGGAGGGUCAUUCGAUACUGUUCGACUCGAAGGCAGGAGAGGGAAGUGGAAUUCCCGGUGUAGUGGUGAAAUGCGUAGAUAUCGGGAGGAACACCAGUGGCGAAGGCGGUGCUCUGGGCCGGUACUGACGCUGAGGAGCGAAAGCGUGGGGAGCAAACAGG